GCACUCGUUUUGGCAGCACAUACACUAAAAUUGGGACAAUACAGAGACGAUUAGGCCCCUGGACAAGGACGACGCACCAACUCAUGCAAUGUUCCAGAUUUUU
ensembl:snRNA U6 U6 spliceosomal RNA